GAGAAGCUCAAUUGGUUGAGCAACGGUCUCCAAAGCCGUCGGGUGUGGGUUCGAGUCCCACCUCU
rnacentral:tRNA from 1 species